GCAAGUCAAGGAGAAAGCUUUCUUCGGAAAGUGAUUAAACUGGCGCACGGGUGAGGAAUAUGUAAGUAAUCUACCUAUAAGUUGGGAAUAACACCUCGAAAGAGAUGCUAAUACCGAAUAAGAUAUUGCGAUUGCAUGAUUGCGAUAUUAAAGGUGCUUUGGCACUGCUUAUAGAUGAGCUUGCAUCUGAUUAGCUAGUUGGUAAGGUAAAGGCUUACCAAGGCGACGAUCAGUAGCUGGUCUGAGAGGAUGAUC
rnacentral:rRNA from 1 species